rnacentral:rRNA from 1 species
GACAGAGGGUGCAAACGUUUGUUCGGAAUUACUGGGCGUAAAGCGCGUGUAGGCGGCAAGCCAAGUCGGGUGUGAAAGCCCUGGGCUCAACCCAGGAAGUGCAUUCGAUACUGGCAAGCUAGAGUCCCGGAGAGGAUGGUGGAACUCUCGGUGUAGCGGUGAAAUGCGUAGAUAUCGAGAGGAACACCUGCGGCGAAGGCGGGUUGCUGGGCUGAUGACUGACGCUGAUGCGCGAAAGCCAGGGGAGCGAACGGG